CCUACGGGGCGCAGCAGUGGGGAAUAUUGGACAAUGGGGGGAACCCUGAUCCAGCGACGCCGCGUGAGUGAAGAAGUAUUUCGGUAUGUAAAGCUCUAUCAGCAGGGAAGAAAAUGACGGUACCUGACUAAGAAGCCCCGGCUAACUACGUGCCAGCAGCCGCGGUAAUACGUAGGGGGCAAGCGUUAUCCGGAUUUAUUGGGUUUAAAGGGUGCGUAGGCGGACGGUCAAGUCAGCGGUAAAAAUGCGGUGCUCAACGCCGUACAGCCGUUGAAACUGGCAGUCUUGAGUGGGCGAGAAGUAUG
rnacentral:rRNA from 1 species